CAGGCAUGAGAUCUGGAUGAAGCUGCUGUUUCUAAAACACCAAGAUCUUUCUUGUGCUUGAUGGCAUGAGCCACUUGGGGUUACUGGAAGCUCCUGAGGGACACCAGAACAACCAUGUGCUCACUGCUGUGGCCUGGAAACAAACUCAGUAUCUUGUGGGAAGAGUGGUCAGCCUAAUUUAAGAUGAAUGAAGGCUCAGUUACCAGCACAGGAGUUACCGCUGGCGAGGAAACGUUUGCUCAGAAUAGAAGCAUUGUGCCACCAGCUGUGUUAAAUUGCUGCCUCUAAGCUAUUGUGGGACAAUUCAAGCCUAUUGUAAAAUAGAUAGCAGGAAGGCAUGUGUGUUUCCAAGGAAACCCUUGGCUGCAAGUUUAUUGUAUAAAUAACACCGGGUGGAGAAGAUGUGGCCAGUGGAAGAGUGGGGAAAAAAAUGAAGUGCUUGGCAUGUCUCAGUGUCUGAGGGAGGGUCGUAAGCACAAGCAGUGAGUGAAACAGAUUUACCAGUUGGGCAGUUGAUCUUUCUUCUGCUGGGAAAAGCAAGAAAAACAGGUUAGUCAUACAGAAGUGACUGGGGAAUAAAAUAGUGGCUGUCAGGAAUAACAUGACCAUGAUGGGCAAGUCCAUGCGCUGAAGGGUGGAGAAGCAAGAUUAGCCCCUGCACCUUCUCAUACUCACUAGAGCAAAAGAGGCUGGUGUAAACACUGCUGAAUUUGCUCAGAGCUAUGCAAGAGAAGAGGCAGAUGAAGGUUUUAGCGGCAAGUAGGAAAGUAAGGGAAAUAUGAAAGAAGGAAUCUUCAUAAUUAUAUAUCUAAGCAUUGGGACAGAUCCAAAACGAAGAGCACAACAUUUAUGGUCUCCAAAGAUUAUCUGUGUACAACUUCUUAAGGUUGUGGACCAGGUUGCUAGUAGAAUUCAAAGAAAAGCAGCAGGCAAUGAAUCCAACACAGUGCAUAUCACACGUAUGCCAAGACAAGA